rnacentral:rRNA from 1 species
GGGGGAUGACGCAGGAGGAUAAGAUGUGCACACUAUUGGAUGUGUGUCUAAGCAUUUAGGCGGAGCAAGCAGGCAAAUCCGUUUGCUCUUAACGCUGAGAUGUGAUGGGGAAGGGAAUUUAUUCCUGAAGUAUCUGAUUCCACGCUGCCAAGAAAAGUCUCUAUCGAGGAUAUUGGUGCCCGUACCGCAAACCGACACAGGUAGGUGAGGAGAGAAUCCUAAGACCAUCGGAAGAAUUGCUGUUAAGGAACUCGGCAAAUUGACCCCGUAACUUCGGGAGAAGGGGUGCCUACGCAAGUAGGUCGCAGAGAAUAGGCCCAAGCAACUGUUUAGCAAAAACACAGGUCUCUGCUAAAGCGAAAGCUGAUGUAUAGGGGCUGACGCCUGCCCGGUGCUGGAAGGUUAAGGGGAUUAGUUAGCGCAAGCGAGGCUAUGAACUUAAGCCCCAGUAAACGGCGGCCGUAACGAUAACGGUCCUAAGGUAGCGAAAUUCCUUGUCAGGUAAGUUCUGACCCGCACGAAUGGCGUAAUGAUUUGGGCACUGUCUCAACAGCACAUCCGGCGAAAUUGUAGUGCCAGUGAAGAUGCUGGCUACCCGCGAUUGGACGGAAAGACCCCGUAGAGCUUUACUGUAGCUUAGCAUUGAAUUUCGGUAUUGUCUGUACAGGAUAGGUGGGAGACUGAGAAACAUGGGCGUCAGCCUGUGUGGAGUCAUCCUUGGGAUACCACCCUGACAGUACUGAGGUUCUAACUGGAGGCCAUGAAUCUGGUCACAGGACAUUGUUAGGUGGGCAGUUUGACUGGGGCGGUCGCCUCCAAAAAAGUAACGGAGGCGCUCAAAGGUUCCCUCAGCGCGGUUGGAAAUCGCGCGAAGAGUGCAAAGGCAGAAGGGAGCCUGACUGCGACACCUACAGGUGGAGCAGGGACGAAAGUCGGACUUAGUGAUCCGGUGGUACCUCGUGGGAGGGCCAUCGCUCAACGGAUAAAAGCUACCUCGGGGAUAACAGGCUGAUCUCCCCCAAGAGUCCACAUCGACGGGGAGGUUUGGCACCUCGAUGUCGGCUCGUCGCAUCCUGGGGCUGAAGUAGGUCCCAAGGGUUGGGCUGUUCGCCCAUUAAAGCGGCACGCGAGCUGGGUUCAGAACGUCGUGAGACAGUUCGGUCCCUAUCCGUCGCGGGCGUAGGAAAUUUGAAGGGAGCUGUCCUUAGUACGAGAGGACCGGGAUGGACAAACCUCUGGUGCACCAGUUGUCACGCCAGUGGCAUCGCUGGGUAGCUAUGUUUGGAAGGGAUAAACGCUGAAAGCAUCUAAGCGUGAAGCCCACCCUAAGAUGAGAUUUCCCAUCACUCAUGCGUAAGCAUGAUGUGAGUAAGACUCCUGGAAGAACACCAGGUUGAUAGGUUAGAGGUGUAAGCAUGGUAACAUGUUCAGCUGACUAAUACUAAUAAGUCGAGGGCUUGACCG